rnacentral:rRNA from 1 species
UACGUAGGGUGCGAGCGUUGUCCGGAAUUAUUGGGCGUAAAGAGCUCGUAGGCGGCUUGUCGCGUCGGAUGUGAAAGCCCGGGGCUUAACUCCGGGUCUGCAUUCGAUACGGGCAGGCUGGAGUGUGGUAGGGGAGAUCGGAAUUCCUGGUGUAGCGGUGAAAUGCGCAGAUAUCAGGAGGAACACCGGUGGCGAAGGCGGAUCUCUGGGCCAUUACUGACGCUGAGGAGCGAAAGCGUGGGGAGCGAACAGG